rnacentral:rRNA from 1 species
ACGAACGCUGGCGGCAGGCUUAACACAUGCAAGUCGAACGGUUGUAGCAAUACAGCAGUGGCAGACGGGUGAGUAACACGUGGGAACCUUCCUAGGGGUACGGAACAACUCAGGGAAACUUGAGCUAAUACCGUAUACGUCCGUGAGGAGAAAGAUUUAUCGCCCUUAGACGGGCCCGCGUAGGAUUAGGUAGUUGGUGGGGUAAUGGCCUACCAAGCCUACGAUCCUUAGCUGAUCUGAGAGGAUGAUCAGCCACACUGGGACUGAGACACGGCCCAGACUCCUACGGGAGGCAGCAGUGGGGAAUCUUGGACAAUGGGCGCAAGCCUGAUCCAGCCAUGCCGCGUGAGUGAAGAAGGCCUUCGGGUUGUAAAGCUCUUUUACCAGGGACGAUAAUGACGGUACCUGGAGAAUAAGCCCCGGCAAACUUCGU